UCACAGGAAGAAUCUCAAAUAUGGGAGGAAGUGAACAUACCUUGGUUGUCUUAGGAGGGAAAAAAAAAGAGUCAGAGUCACAGUGUCACAAUGAUUAAAGAAAAAGUUGGGGCUGGCAGCAGCCGACACCCUUUCUAUUGGUGAAAGACUUCUGUAGAGAAUGUGGCCAAAGAGACACCUAGGCUCAUAAAGGCCAGAAUUCUGACUCCAUGUUCUAUGAGGUCACAAGAGCUAAUUCUCCAGCAUAGCUGAAAGUUCCAAUGUCAAGUUCUCUGGGGACACAGAAUACUAGAGUGCUGCAGACAUGGAGCUCUGCCCUUCCUCCAGCCCCAGCCUGCGCACCUUAGCUCUGGCUGCCCCUUCUGUGCAUCAGCUGGAAUUCCCCAGGAGGUAGAGGAGGUUUUGCACAGGGGAAGGCCGUCAAUCACCGGAACUGGGAGGGUAGGACCGUGCUGAGAGGGGAACCCAAGUUCUCAUUCAGGGUGGAGCAACAGCUAAGUCCUGACCAACCUGAGGCAGGCUCGACCUGAUGAAGGGACAGCUCAUCGGGAUCCCUUGUAGUAGCUGGCUCCCCUACAGUCUGGAAUGCCUCAGGGCCAACGUGGGAUCAAGCAGGAAAAGGAAACUGCUGGAUUAACUGUGCCAAACUCAAAUCACUAUGUUCAGUGAAUUACAAGGAGCCAAAGGAAAUGAUGAGGGUAGAUAAGAGACUAAGGUGAACCAAAUGUCCCUAGAGGCUCUAACUGCUGUAUGCGCUUGAUCCCACCAUCCUACUAUCCCUUGUGCCAUAGGUGAGCAUGUGACGAGCGACUACUUGGAGCCAAACAUUUAUGUCCUCCUGAGUCAACUUGUGAAGCUACACACAUGAGACAGUGUGGGUAUGCUGCAUAAUCAGGUUCUUCCUUGAAGACCACUCAUCUCGCUGGUUGAUUCUUGAUGAGGCAGGUGGCAGGAGCUUGGCUUGUUUGAACCCUUCAGGGUCAGAAGUGGAGCAAGAAGACUAGGUAAGUGGAAAGAGGCAAGCCAGAGUAGAGCGCAGACCAGAAAAGCCAGAGUACACCAAGCUGAGGGCAUGACUGGCCCUCUCUUAGAGGGACAUGCACCUGACUAUUACAGAGAAAGACCCCUGAACAUCUCUUCCACCCAAUUCACCUUCCAGGUUCUCAGAUACUGAGCUAUAAUCACCAACGUUCCUGCAACCUGCUAUUGAUUUCCAAGGCUACCCUCGUGGCAAGGAUCAUUCUGAGGCAUCAAUAGCAGGUCUUCUCAGAUCAUUUUGGACCAGGUGCCUUUCUCUGGACAUUUAUGGGAGACCCUGCAAAUCACAGAGAGACAAGAACAAACGACUAGUCCAGAGAUUUCCUUUCCUCAUUUAUAUUCUGCAUCCUAAAACGAGUCUGUUUUCUUUAUAGACAAAUUCCUUUGGAUAAGGCUGGGUCUGCAGGAGAAUCUUCAUCAGAUGCAAUCAAAGUAUAAAGUGGGUCACAUAAAAAAUCAACCAUGACUAACAUUUGAACCCAAGCUAGUUACUUGUAGAGUCAAAGUGUGUGAUCAUAGCCCUCUGGUACCUGUGUUGUGUUUUGAGGAAAGAAGAAGGAGGAAGGAAGAAGGAGGAAGGAGGAAGGAGGAAGGAGGAAGGAGAAUGACAAGGUUCAAGGCAAAAUAUACAACUCUUGGUUCAGACUGUUCUCUGAAAAAGUCAAAGAACAAUGGAAGUCUAUAGGAGAGCCCUGGACCCAGAGGUUGGGGAAAUGCUCUCUGGAUCUCUCAUGUCUAGGAUCUACUUCCCACUGUCAACACCAAAUUAUAGUACAGAAAGAUGCUUUAACACAGCUCCAAGCUGCAUCAGUCACUUCCAUUGGGUUUUAUUGGUCUUUGAGAGUUUGCCUACUGAAUAGUAAGUCUGAGGACCAACUCAUGUCCCAAGUCAGAGCAAACUGCUGUCAUCUUCGAUGUGACUUGAAAAGUCACAUGGAGAGAAGUCAGUUUUGCAUUCAGCACGGGAUGUUUUCAGAGUGUGAGGACAUACCCACCAUCUUGGGAUGAUAUCCAUUUCAGUAUGUUAAAAGUGUUUGCAAACAUAAAAUAUAUAAAGGCAUAACACAAAUGGCAUAUACAGGCCAUCAACUCUUUGAAAAGGUCAGUUUCCCUAAAACAAGUUAAGGGAGGCGCAUAUGAAGCAUGGCUGGCCUUUGAUGCUUGCAGAUUUAAGCUAACAGCACGUAGACAUGUUGCUAAGGCGUGAAUGGAGAUGCUUUACUAUAUGGUCAGCACACAGGGAAGGGCACACUACUCGGGGAGACAGGGAGCCUGGCCAGGGGGCUGGGUCCCACUUCUGGCACUAUUCUCCAACACAUGUGUGCAGUGAUUCUCAGGUAGUGGCAAAACCUUCACUCCCUUGUAAAAAAAAAAUUGUGGCCCUUGAGCCCUUAUCAAAGUCAGAAGAGGAAACAAGUAUGCGGCUGUGCAAAGCAGACUUUCUGUACUUUCUAUCCCACAGUUCUGAGAACAGCUAGGGAUGUGCAUGGGAUGAGCCCGUGCCUCGAGUGUGCUGUUGAAUCAGGAGCCCUGUUUGCCCGUCCUCAUCUCUGGGUCAAGGGACCAGAUGUACAGCCUUACUCCCCCAGUCCACUGGGACCAACCUCACUUACUGAGGUCACGGUAUAUCUUUGGUAUCGGUCCACAAAGUCUCUAGCUCACUGUACCUAGCUCUUAACCUGGGUCCACAGCUCUUCAAACACGUAAGGAGAUGUAUCUCCUAUGAAACUCUUCCUUCUACGAUAAUCCAUUUAAACUCACUUUUCUAUUCUUCUGAACUUGAAUGGCCCUUGGCACUUAUAUUCCAGGGUCAGACAGCUUGGCCAUAGUUAUCUGUCUGCCAUCAGUACUACUUACACUAUUACCAC
rnacentral:sRNA from 1 species